rnacentral:lncRNA from 1 species
CACCCAUCUGGUGGGCGGCUGCGAUGGCUCUGCCUGGAGCCUGGGUUUGAGUCAGGGCUGUCAUACCUGAGACUUUGGGAACACGACCAUGUCGUCUUUUAAACAAGAACUUUCAUUCUGAGGUGAAAAUGAAAGUGACCUUCAGAAGAGGAAGGAACAAAAAGAAUCUACCAAUUUUUCUAAUAAUGGAAAGCCCUCGAGGGGAAGGAUCUCCAUGUAUUCUUCAAUUUGCAUGAAUGGCUGAAUGUGUGGAUGAGAAUUUUCGUCGCUAAUGAAGCAGGAAAGACUUUGCAGCUCUCGCACAGAGCACUUCCUCUGCCUGGAAGCGGUGCUCAGUCCUAAGGGAGAGGAUGGAACCGACGCCUGUUUACUGCUGCUUUCUCAGAUGAUAAUUUUGUUGUUCCUUCCCAUCCCUGGCACUAAGUAAACACACAGAGCGCCGGAUCUGAAGGCAGCAGAGCGGAAUUUAGUGUCUGUUCCAUGUGUUUCAAUACAACUCUGAAGAUGGCAUGUUGUGAUUUUCAUCUCGCUUGUGUCCGUACUGCUGUUUUUACACAACAGAGAUGGAAACACAAUCUGUUACGUCUGUAAGAAACUUUUACUUAUGAAUGAGAGGAACGACGUAGUGUACAUCAACCCUACGGGAAGGAAGCCGCAUCCCCUCCGUGCUGGCGUACCUGAGAGCAUUAAAAAUGGCAGUUUGUGUCUAUUUACGCACCACAGGAGUUUUCACAGCAAUUUAAUCCCGCAAUGAUUCAUUAUUCAUAAGCCACCAGUAGCACCGCCAGCCACUGGCACAGCCGCCUGCAUGAUGCACACUGCAGAACGUCUCCCAGUGGUUCCUCUGUGCCUCAUGGUCAAACUGCUCCAUGGUUUUGAGGAGAACAUCUCCCCAUGCCCAUGAAUUUAGCAUGGGCCUUGGCAGUGUGUCUGCCUGGGCUGGCCAUGCCCUUCUUGCCUCUGGUCUGAAUGCCUGCAGCCACUCAGACCCGUUCAAAUAAGACAGCCCAUCUCUAGGGCUUAGGAGGGUCAUGCACAGAGUGAUGCGGGUUGCAUUCACUUCUAUCUGG